rnacentral:rRNA from 1 species
CAGCCGCCGCGGGAAUACGGAGGAUGCAAGCGUUAUCCGGAAUCAUUGGGUUUAAAGGGUCCGUAGGCGGUCUUGUAAGUCAGUGGUGAAAGCCCAUCGCUCAACGGUGGAACGGCCAUUGAUACUGCAGGACUUGAAUUAUUGGGAAGUAACUAGAAUAUGUAGUGUAGCGGUGAAAUGCUUAGAGAUUACAUGGAAUACCAAUUGCGAAGGCAGGUUACUACCAAUUGAUUGACGCUGAUGGACGAAAGCGUGGGUAGCGAACAGGAUUAGAUACCCCCGUAGUCCCUGUCUCUUAUAC